CGAACGGCAGCACGGACUUCGGUCUGGUGGCGAGUGGCGAACGGGUGAGUAAUAUAUCGGAACAUACCCAGUAGUGGGGGAUAACUAUCCGAAAGGAUAGCUAAUACCGCAUACGAUCUGUGGAUGAAAGCAGGGGAUCUUCGGACCUUGUGCUAUUGGAAUGGCCGAUAUCUGACUAGCUAGUUGGUAGGGUAAAAGCCUACCAAGGCGACGAUCAGUAGCUGGUCUGAGAGGACGACCAGCCACACUGGAACUGAGACACGGUCCAGACUCCUACGGGAGGCAGCAGUGGGGAAUUUUGGACAAUGGGGGCAACCCUGAUCCAGCAAUGCCGCGUGAGUGAAGAAGGCCCUCGGGUUGUAAAGCUCUUUUGUCAGGGAAGAAACGGAGUUCUCUAAUAUAGGAUUCUAAUGACGGUACCUGAAGAAUAAGCACCGGCUAACUACGUGCCAGCAGCCGCGGUAAUACGUAGGGUGCAAGCGUUAAUCGGAAUUACUGGGCGUAAAGCGUGCGCAGGCGGUUUUGUAAGUCUGAUGUGAAAUCCCCGGGCUCAACCUGGGAACUGCAUUGGAGACUGCAAGGCUAGAGUGUGUCAGAGGGGGGUAGAAUUCCACGUGUAGCAGUGAAAUGCGUAGAGAUGUGGAGGAUACCGAUGGCGA
rnacentral:rRNA from 1 species